rnacentral:rRNA from 1 species
CGUCUUCGGAAGUCAGUGGCAGACGGGUGAGUAACACGUGGGAACGUGCCUCGGUUCGGAAUAACUCAGGGAAACUUGAGCUAAUACCGGAUACGCCCUUUUGGGGAAAGGUUGACUGCCGAAGGAUCGGCCCGCGUCUGAUUAGCUUGUUGGUGGGGUAACGGCCUACCAAGGCGACGAUCAGUAGCUGGUCUGAGAGGAUGAUCAGCCACACUGGGACUGAGACACGGCCCAG